rnacentral:rRNA from 1 species
ACCCAAUAGAUACCCGGGUAGUCCCAGCUGUAAACGAUGCAGACUAGGUGUUUGGACGGCCACGUGCCGUUCUAGUGCCGCAGGGAAGCUGUUAAGUCUGCCGCCUGGGGAGUACGAUCGCAAGAUUGAAACUUAAAGGAAUUGGCGGGGGAGCACCACAAGGGGUGAAGCUUGCGGUUUAAUUGGAGUCAACGCCGGAAAUCUCACCGGGAGCGACAGCAGUAUGAAAGCCAGAUUGAAGGUCUUGCUAGACGAGCUGAGAGGAGGUGCAUGGCCGUCGCCAGUUCGUGCCGUAAGGUGUCCUGUUAAGUCAGGCAACGAUCGAGACCCGCGUCCUCUGUUGCAACCAGUUUUGUGCUGGGCACACUGAGGAGACCGCCACUGAUAAAGUGGAGGAAGGAGCGGGCCACGGCAGGUCAGUAUGCCCCGGAAUCUCCCGGGCCACACGCGAGCUGCAAUGGCAAGUACAAUGGGUUCCGACCUCGAAAGGGGUAGGCAAUCUCGAAAGCUUGCCGUAGUUGGAAUUGAGGGUUGUAA